rnacentral:lncRNA from 1 species
ACCCCAGGUGUGUGCUGGAGAUGCAGAAAUGCAGGGAGGGAUUCUGCAAUGAACUGGAGCCUCAGGUGAGUUUCUCACUAGUGGUCUGGUUUGAUCCUUGUGGAGGGGUCGCUGGCCUGCACAGAAAGUCUAUGACACUAAAAGUGAGCUGAGUAGCAUCCUUAGUUGCUUUCCUCAAAGAAAUGGAAGGGAAAACUCUAGCAUUUUCCAUAAUGCCUUGACUUGAUAUUUUUUGAGCCCACAUUUCCAGCUUUCUUGGGGCAGAGGAGAUCACAGCAGGGCUUGCUCUUCAACCUCAUGCAAGGAAGGGACAAAAGGGCUUAGCUUCAAACUACCAUUCCAAAGUAAGGUCCACUAGCACUUUUUCUAAAAAGUAUCUUACUUUUGACUCUCAUAGAAGGGAACCAUCUAGGAAGGAACUUGGAGAGUCAGUCUUUCUCCACUUCCUGUUUGACUCUGGUGUGGGGGUGGGAUGUGAGUGAAUGGCACACAGGCCUGCCAGUGAAGAGGAACCUUAACCUGUCUCCACAGACCACCCCUCCCCCAUUUACUCUGCCUUCAAGUAACUCAGUUGACUCAUAGGCCAAUGCCAAGGUCACCCUGCUGCUCUUUUCCCACUCAUUCUCAGGAGAGAAUGUCUUCC